GAUCUAUAAACUUGCUGUUUUUUUUUCUUCUUAGAACAACAAAACAGCGCAGAAGCACAAACAAAUCAGCUUUUAGUAUCAACCACGUGUCAAGGCAGGUCACGUCCUCUGGCGUCAGCCACGGCGGCACUGUCAGCCUGCAGGAUGCUGUGACUCGACGGCCUCCUGUAUUGGACGAGUCUUGGAUUCGUGAACAGACCACAGUGGACCACUUCUGGGGUCUUGAUGAUGAUGGUGAUCUUAAAGGUGGAAAUAAAGCUGCCAUUCAGGGAAACGGGGAUGUGGGAGCCGCCGCCGCCACCGCGCACAACGGCUUCUCCUGCAGCAACUGCAGCAUGCUGUCCGAGCGCAAGGACGUGCUCACGGCGCACCCCGCGGCCCCCGGGCCCGUGUCGAGAGUUUAUUCUAGGGACAGGAAUCAAAAAUGUAAGUCUCAGUCCUUUAAAACUCAGAAAAAGGUGUGUUUUCCAAAUUUAAUAUUUCCUUUCUGUAAGUCUCAGUGUCUGCACUAUUUGUCUUGGAGACUUAAAAUUAUCCCUUGAAAGCAUAAGAAGUACACCCCAAACCAGCUUUGU
rnacentral:lncRNA from 1 species